GGGCUGGUAGCUUAGAUAGGUAGAGCGGCCGGCUCUUAACCGGCAGGCCAAGGGUUCGAAUCCCUUCCAGCCCG
rnacentral:tRNA from 1 species